rnacentral:lncRNA from 1 species
GCUCAACACAUACCUGGAGAAAGAAGCUGCAGCUAAUGCUAAGGGCCACCCCAAGCCCCCCACAGGGGCACUGGGAGCCGGUGAAGCAGCAUCUGGUUACACCCGACUCAUGCUCAGUAAGUCUUUAUCCCAGGCCCUCUGUUUGGGGUGGGUUGGGGCUCUGGUUCCAAGCUGCACCCCCCAAGCCUGGCGAUGCAGCAGGCCCCCUGCCCAGUGCUUACUUGGGGGCACUCACAAGUAAAGCUUUAUUUGCCUCGAGUUUCUGCCAUUCGUUCUAAAGCUCUAACAUCUUGGGGGUUCCUUUUAAGAUGCAAAUUCUCCCGUCUGUUCUGUAGCUGAGCAAACCGCUAAGUAACCCUUUGAAUUUACUCCUUUCUCUUGGCUUCCUCAAUCUAAAUGUCUUCUGUAAACUCCGCCCUUCUCCCCAGCGUUUUCCCGUGCCCGAACCAUAGACGUUCUUAAAAAAUGCAGACCAGGCAAAUGGAUCUCAGACCUAGAUCGGGGCUGACCGAGACGAUCACCCAUGUUUUAACUUGUCCUCGGUUUCCGAGCGGGAGGGCGGUGGAGGCGGCCUGGGUGGGGUCUGCCCCUACCGGGCUCCGCCAGCGGGUCUGGGACCUGGAGGUGCAUUCCUCCACCUCUUCCAGCUUUCAUUUCCUCCCCUGUGAAAGGAGAUAACCACCGGCCUCCCUGGGUUGUUUUGAGCCCCAAGUGAGAGAUCAUUCAUAGGAUAGCAUUUUGUAAAUCAUAAGGCGCUAAAUGAAACACUCGCGACAGUGGCAGCGCCACCACUACAGCCACAGGACAGGUGGCGCGCUCCUCAGGCCAUGGACGAGCUCCCAUCUUCCGGCCUCUUCUGCACCGGAGCUUCACCCGCGCACGGUGGCUGCACACGCAGCUCUGGGUUCCACGUCUUGGGCCACGGGUUUCCCCCCGGGAGGACAGGCCGGACGCGGAGGAGAGCAGGGAUUGGCUGUGGAGGAGAUUCUGGAGAAGAGAGCCUGGAUUUGGAUCUCAGCUUGAUGACCUUAGGUAAGUCCAUUAAGUUCUCUGUGCCUUUUUGUUUGUUUGUUUUAUAAGGUGAGGAAUCUUACAGUGCCUAAUUCGGGGGUAUUUGUCAGUUAACUGAGAUAGUGCUUCUGGGGCACCUGACAGAGAGUCAGCACACAAGUAUGUGAGCUGUUGGUAUUGUUGUGAUCUCGUGGGAAGGAAUGCGG